GGAUGUGAUCAUACCAGCACUAAAGCACCGGAUCCCAUCAGAACUCCGAAGUUAAGCGUGCUUUGGCGAGAGUAGUACUAGGAUGGGUGACCUCCUGGGAAGUCCUCGUGUUGCAUCCC
rnacentral:rRNA from 1 species